rnacentral:rRNA from 1 species
UACGAAGGGGGCUAGCGUUGCUCGGAAUCACUGGGCGUAAAGCGCGUGUAGGCGGACUCUUAAGUCGGUGGUGAAAUCCUGGAGCUCAACUCCAGAACUGCCUUCGAUACUGAGAGUCUCGAGUCCGAGAGAGGUGAGUGGAACUGCGAGUGUAGAGGUGAAAUUCGUAGAUAUUCGCAAGAACACCAGUGGCGAAGGCGGCUCACUGGCUCGGUACUGACGCUGAGGUGCGAAAGCGUGGGGAGCAAACAGG